CCUACGGGUGGCAGCAGUGGGGAAUAUUGGGCAAUGGGCGCAAGCCUGACCCAGCAACGCCGCGUGAAGGAAGAAGGCUUUCGGGUUGUAAACUUCUUUUCGCAGGGACGAAGCAAGUGACGGUACCUGAGGAAUAAGCCACGGCGAACUACGUGCCAGCAGCCGCGGGAAUACGUAGGUGGCAGGCGUUAGCCGGAUUUAAUGGGUGUAAAGGGCGUGUAGGCGGGGACGCAAGCCAGUUGUGAAAACCACGGGCUCAACCUGUGGCCUGCAUUUGAAACUGUGUUUCUUGAGUACUGGAGAGGUAGACGGAAUUCGUGGUGUAGCGGUGAAAUGCGUAGAUAUUAGGAGGAACACCAGUGGCGAAGGCGGUCUGCUGGACAGCAACUGACGCUGAGGCGCGAAAGCGUGGGGAGCAAACAGGAUUAGAUACCCGAGUAGUC
rnacentral:rRNA from 1 species